CUGAGUUCGCUUCGCUUUAGAUCACAGCACCAUUCUUUACUCGCAUAACGAGCAACGUUAUCAGUUACGGCGCCGGCUGAAUUGUUUUUUAUGUUAUCGACGGAUACUCUACUCUUCUUCUUGACUCGUUCGACUUCUGCACUCCCAUGAAUACUUGCUUCUGGUCGAAGACGGCGUUAUGUGUUGAUGGUAUUCGGACCUCUGAUUAACAUUCAAUAUUGGCUCUGCUGUUGCCUAUUAGAGAGGUAGCAGGUUCAGCACCAAGAAAUGGUUUCCAUCUGUGUGCCAUUGACAACCUAGAAACUUCAACUCAUAGGAUGAAGAUGAAGCAUGACACGAGUGCCAUGCCCUUAACGAUCCAUCAUGAACUGAAAGGACGUGAUAGCUUUUAACAAUCUGAUGGUCUUGAUACAUGUGAAUUAAAGAGUUGCUCACAGCAUUGUAUGUCAACGGAAGAAAGUUGAAGAGCGAAAAGAAGGCAGUUUGAUCUAUUCCAUUGUCCAAAUGGUUUCAAAAUCAAGGAAGGUUUUCUGAAGCAUUCUAGACAAAAUCUAGUAAUGUAAGGUGCUUAGAUAAAUCUUGCUGCAUGCAACCGGUGUAGGUGUUGCGCUAUCUUCUGCCAGCACAAUGUCAGGACAGGCCAGUAAACAGAGCACUAGGUUGGCACAAGCUUCUAGUGGUCGGUCAUCUCUUUUCCCUCGGUGUCUUGGCACUAGGACAUGCCAAUGACACUGUGGGCUAUAUAACACGCUAUGCUGCUCGGAUUCAGCAACUUUAUACAUAAGGGUCUAUGAUUUGAUCACAUUAGCCAGAAGAGCCUCUCAUCUUAUACGUAUGAAAUGCCAGCACACUUGUGCCGACCAUGCAGUGUCAUGCAUGUCGAAGAGCACUAAUUGCAUCAUUUGAUGCUGAAAUUACACUCAAUAUUGGUUGCGGAACAUACGAGGCAAAACUCAGUGCUACAACAUAUCGACUG